ACCCGCCAGAGUUGGCGCGCGGGAGUGUGGGAGCCGCGGAAUGUUCCCGCCAGUCGCACCGGGGUCAAGUGCGGGCCGCUGUCGCCUGCCUACUCCGCGCGUCCAGCUCCGCGCCUUCCUCGGGACACUUGUCCUUGGACCCCCCUACCCCAGGCCAGCUGGAGGCUCCCCGGCCGCCUUCUCCAGAGACCCCCUCCCAGGGUGCCCCUGAUGAAUGACACAUUGAUCAACCCGUAUUCUUCAGACUCUGCCAUAUGAAGCCAAUGAAAGAUACCUGCUGGUGACCAAAUGAUGAUCACAUGAAAAGUCCAUCACCCCAGAAUCUCCUCUCCUGCCAUCUGGACUUACUGAAUGUCUACUCAUCCAUCGAGACCAAUUUAUUCAUCAACACCAACUCAUCCAAAAAGUUUAUGCAGAUUGCUACUUCCAUUCAGAAUCAACAGCCUCUUCGCUCCUUAUGUGGCACUUUAAUUUAUGUAUAUUUCAAUGUAUUAUUAUAUAUUUAAAAAUAAUAUAAUGAACAAUCAUGUACUCUCCCAGAAGCUUAAGAAAUAAAUCAUUUCCAAAAAACUUGAACCCUCCUAUGUAUCUACUUUCGUACUGAGUCCUCCUCACUCUCUACUCCUCAGCCUCCCCACCCUUCCCCACCCUCCCCAUAGAGGAUCAUUAUCUUGAAUU